AAAAAAUUCAGCACAAACGGCUACAUGGGCCGAAAAAAGCACAUGAAGAGAAGAAAGCCACCAAGGAAUUAUUCCCGCCCAAGUAAGAAGCUCCACCUUGGCAGAUAGCAGACCUGACGGGCGAAAAUAAAGAAAUAUCCGCACUGGUGAAAUUGUCCUACUGACUCCUAUCACCAUAGAUAUCAUCCGUAGUAUUAUUAUGUUAUAUAUGGAUCUACCAACCAUGAACGCUAUCCUCAUGAUGUAAGUUAAACAACGAAAUGACUAUGUAUAAUUGUCUAAAGUAUUCUCUGUUGUUUAUCACUGAAUAUUGCUGUGAUGUCAAUAAUCAUACGAAAUUCUCAACUU